rnacentral:lncRNA from 1 species
GCUGCGCACUUCGGUCUUUUACGUCGGCCUUCGCGAGCGUCUGGGCGGGUGGUAGGUGAGUGGGUAUUGCGGGCUAGUAUCCGAGCAAAAGAUGGUGGCGCAGGCCGAGUUAAGAGCUUUAAUCCUGUGAAGACAUCUUAGUGAAGAGUUUAGAGUGCUGAGAGUUGAAAGCUUGCACGUGGGAAACGUGCGGCCGGACUGCCACAUGUACUGAGGUUGAGUCGUGACGGCCACAGGCUCCGAGUUUUGGCGUGAGGAACCGCUGAUCGGCCACGGGCGCCGAACUUGCUGGCCUCCGGCAUGUGCCUGAGCGGCGGCGGAAAAACCACCUUAAUUGGGGCGGAGGGUUAGUUUUAACAGCAAAGGGCCUUUACUAAAAUGGCGAAGGCCUUCCGUCGGCGUUGUUUUAAAAUGGGAAGCCUCGACCCUGUAUUGAAACUGAGCUGUUCGAAGGCGGCGUUGUGUGCAAUUCGGAUUAAUGAAGGGGAAGGGUUUUGUGUGGAAAAACGCCUUGGAGUGUGACAUUUCUGCGAGAAUGCUUAAAUACCGAUUUCCCGCAGGAACAAUGGCGCUGUCUUCAGUGGCACAGUGGAGCAGCUCUGAAGAUGCAAAGAUACACGAAAAAACUUCCAGAACAUCUGGGAGAAUAUUUAAUGGAAAAUCGCUUGGUUAAAACCUGACACUUUUAACAGUGAACAGCGUUCUGAGUGUGGACGAGUAGCCAGUGAAGAUAAUGAAUGUCGAAUGUGACUGACUAGCAGCUUCAUUUUGAAGUAGGUUGUAUGGCUUAAAAGUUCUGUAGUAUUUGUACUAUAAUACUUGCCUUUUAGCAUUACCUUGGUUUGUAGUCAGUGUCACAGAAGUGCAGUUUAAUGUAUUAUGUGUACAUAUACAAGGUCUGAUUGGUCUAAUCAAUGAUGAAACCUAUCCCGAAGCUGAUAACCUGAAGAAAAAUAAGUACGGAUUCGGCUUCUGAGAUUAAGACCAGUAAUUCAGAGGUGGAGUAAAUUUUGUUGCCGUGAUUUUAUAACAGUUGUGUUAUAAAAUCCUGGGUUUUUUUUUUUUCUGCCAACAGUGAGGGUCGCUGUCUGCCCAUUGAUAGAGGCCAGAUUGUCUUGGAAGUUCCAAAGUUGCAACGAUUUCUGGCUAGUGCCACGAGGUUUACUUGACUGUUGUGUGAAAAGCUGAUAAGAAAACCAUCCAGAAAAAAGCUCUUCGUUUUACAAACAUGAAAAUAAAACAUGUAAUUUUGGAUUAU